rnacentral:rRNA from 1 species
UACGUAGGUGGCAAGCGUUGUCCGGAAUUAUUGGGUGUAAAGCGCGCGCAGGCGGCCUCUUAAGUCUGAUGUGAAAGCCCCCGGCUCAACCGGGGAGGGCCAUUGGAAACUGGGAGGCUUGAGUAUAGGAGAGAAGAGUGGGAUUCCACGUGUAGCGGUGAAAUGCGUAGAGAUGUGGAGGAACACCAGUGGCGAAGGCGACUCUUUGGCCUAUAACUGACGCUGAGGCGCGAAAGCGUGGGGGAGCAAACAGG